rnacentral:rRNA from 1 species
UACGUAGGGGGCAAGCGUUGUCCGGAUUUAUUGGGCGUAAAGAGCGUGUAGGCGGCUUUACAGGUCCGUUGUGAAAACUCGAGGCUCAACCUUUGAAAGCCGGUGGAUACUGUCGAGCUAGAGUCCGGAAGAGGCGAGUGGAAUUCCUGGUGUAGCGGUGGAAUGCGCAGAUAUCAGGAGGAACACCAACGGCGAAGGCAGCUCGCUGGGACGGUACUGACGCUAAGGCGCGAAAGCGUGGGGAGCGAACAGG